CUUGGAGAAUUCAAAGCUAUGAAAUUCAGAGCUCAAAUUUGAACGCAAUAUUAAGACUAUUGCUGUUCCUAGUGAGUCUGUGCAUGCUAUCUACAGUCAUCUGCUUUUGGGAUUGCAUUCUGAACUUUUCCUUCAUUUUGGUCAUGUAAUCAGAAAGUAUAAGUGAACUUUGUUGUGUUAUACAUGUAUUCUCAUGAAGUAGGAAUUCCAUUCUUUACCUAUGUUCACAUGGAAUUAAUUUGGUUUUCUUUCUAAAAGAAACAGCUUAGAACAAACCCAUAGCAGUCUCUCUAUUUUCUACAUUGUCAUCCCAUUUGGAAAAUCCAAUACUGUUUUUUUCCUCCCAUUGGUGACUGUGUGCAAAUGUGUGCCUUUGUCGGCACAAAACCAACACCAGUGAAGGUGUUUGCCUAGAUCUAUUAAAACUGCAUUCCUAGAUAGAACUUGCGAAUGACAAAUGCUGCAGGCUUUCAAAAAGAGCUAGAAAAUACAGUAGGAUUUAUAUACAAUAUUAAGAGAAAAAGAGGACACUAAAAGAAAUUUUUGAGUAAAAGACAAGAAAAAAUGCAAAACUCAAUAUUAUUUUUCUUUUAAUAACCGUCUUUUUCUUUCUUGAAGUUAUGGGAUUUCCUCAAUACCUGCUUAAUUUCUUCUAGAUGGCGCUCUAAAACACUUGCCAGAAGGUGGCGACAGAAGCCCUUUUUGCCCAGAUCUGUCCCAGGUGCUGAACCCAGUUUUGGAGCUGAAGAGAAACUGCGGGGCCAGAGACCAGGGAUUCCACCAAGUUCUCCCUAGAGGUUUGCAAGCUCUGAACUGUAUGGCAAUGUCUUUUGGACAUUUGUUCUUCCUGCUUUGGAGGAUUUACACACGAAUGGGGAAGAAGCAUCCAAUUAGAGUAGAAUUGCCAAGGCGAUAGAGAAAUUUGAGGAAUAAGUGCAUAGCAGUAAAGAGCCUCUGGAGCUUUUUGUUUGUUUGUUUAAAGUAUU
rnacentral:lncRNA from 1 species